CACGUAGGGUGCGAGCGUUGUCCGGAAUUAUUGGGCGUAAAAAGCUCGUAGGCGGUGUGUCGCGUCGGCCGUGAAAACCUGCAGCUUAACUGUGGGCUUGCGGUCGAUACGGGCAUCACUGGAGUUCGGCAGGGGAGACUGGAAUUCCUGGUGUAGCGGUGAAAUGCGCAGAUAUCAGGAGGAACACCGGUGGCGAAGGCGGGUCUCUGGGCCGAUACUGACGCUGAGGAGCGAAAGCGUGGGGAGCGAACAGG
rnacentral:rRNA from 1 species